ACGUAGGGUGCGAGCGUUGUCCGGAAUUAUUGGGCGUAAAGGGCUCGUAGGCGGUUUGUCGCGUCGGGAGUGAAAACUCAGGGCUUAACCCUGAGCCUGCUUCUGAUACGGGCAGACUAGAGGUAUGCAGGGGAGAACGGAAUUCCUGGUGUAGCGGUGAAAUGCGCAGAUAUCAGGAGGAACACCGGUGGCGAAGGCGGUUCUCUGGGCAUUACCUGACGCUGAGGAGCGAAAGUGUGGGGAGCGAACAGGAUUAGAUACCCUGGUAGUCCACACCGUAAACGUUGGGCGCUAGGUGUGGGACUCAUUCCACGAGUUCCGUGCCGCAGCUAACGCAUUAAGCGCCCCGCCUGGGGAGUACGGCCGCAAGGCUA
rnacentral:rRNA from 1 species